rnacentral:rRNA from 1 species
AAAUGAAUCAAAACUUUCAAAACUUUCAACAACGGAUCUCUUGGUUCUGGCAUCGAUGAAGAACGCAGCGAAAUGCGAUAAGUAAUGUGAAUUGCAGAAUUCAGUGAAUCAUCGAAUCUUUGAACGCACAUUGCGCCCGCCAGUAUUCUGGCGGGCAUGCCUGUCCG